UACGUAGGGUGCGAGCGUUGUCCGGAUUUACUGGGCGUAAAGGGCUUGUAGGCGGUUUGUUAAGUCUGGUGUGAAAUCUCCCGGCUCAACCGGGAGGGGUCAUCGGAUACUGGCAGACUAGAGACGGGUAGAGGAAAGCAGAAUUCCCGGUGUAGCGGUGAAAUGCGUAGAUAUCGGGAGGAAUACCAGUGGCGAAGGCGGCUUUCUGGGCCUGUUCUGACGCUGAGGAGCGAAAGCGUGGGGAGCAAACCGG
rnacentral:rRNA from 1 species